rnacentral:misc_RNA from 1 species
GCUUAAUUAGGUAUGAAACAUAACAUCCAAAGAAGGUGUUAGCGGUGAUCGAUAUUUGUUUGUGCAUCUUCUCUGUAUGUUCCCUGAGGAGGCUUCUUUCUCUCUCUAAAAUAGAUUCAUUCCUCCUCCUCCUCACGGAACUUCACUCUUUCUCUCUCUACAAUUUGUAUUCCUCUCUACAGCCAUGGCCGCCGACAGUUUCACCGACAAGAAUGCCGUUUUCCGGAAGCUCAAAGCCAAGCCCGAGAACAAGAUGUGCUUUGAUUGCAAUGCGAAGAAUCCUACAUGGGCGUCGGUUACGUAUGGGAUCUUCUUGUGUAUUGAUUGCUCGGCAGUCCAUCGCAGUCUCGGCGUUCACAUCAGUUUCGUUAGAUCAACAAAUUUAGAUUCGUGGUCUCCAGAGCAGUUAAAAAUGAUGUACUUUGGUGGAAAUAACCGUGCUCAAGUUUUUUUCAAGCAGCAUGGAUGGAACGAUGGAGGCAAGACUGACUCCAAGUAUACCUCAAGGGCUGCUGACUUGUAUAGGCAGUUACUCUCAAAAGAAGUUGCUAAAAGUACUGCAGAGGAAGCAGCUUUGCAAGCAGCUUUGCCAGCAGCUUUGCCAGCAUCUCCUGUUGCUUCUCAGGCUGCACAGGCUACUAAUGUAUUUCCGGAUAUUAAGACUAGUGAACCUCCAAAAGAAACGUCUUCGUUGAAAGACGAAAAAACCGAGGUUAUUGCUUCACCUAAAGCCUCUCAAGCUGUUACCACCUUUCUUAAGAAACCUACAGUUGCGAAGAAAGCUGGGAAAUCUGGAGGACUUGGAGCUCGCAAACUUACUAAAAAGUCUAGUGAAAGUCUUUAUGAGCAAAAGCCUGAAGAACCGCCUGUUCAAGUUCCCUCCUCCAAUGCUGCAAGUAAUGCACCAACUGUAGGUUCAUCAUUUGCGUCUCGUUUUGAGUACACAGACAAUGUCCAACCCACAGAGACGAGUUCUGGAGGCUCUCGCGUUCUUAACCAUGUGGCCCCUCCAAAGUCCACCAGUUUUUUUUCAGAUUAUGGGAUGGAUAGUGGUUUCACAAAGAAGACGAGUUCCAAUUCUUCAAAAGCUCAAAUUGAGGAAACUGAUGAAGCAAGGAAAAAGUUUACUAAUGCCAAAUCCAUUUCAUCUGCUCAAUUCUUUGGUGAUCAGAGUAAAGCUGCAAUGGAAGCCUCAGUUUCUCUUCAGAAAUACUCGGGUUCAAGCGCCAUUUCUAGUGCUGACCUUUUUGGUCAAGAUGAUGGGGCAGCUUAUGAAAUAAGUGCCGGCGAUUUAAUAAAUAGGAUCUCUUUCCAGGCACAACAGGAUAUGUCGUCUAUCAAAAAUAUUGCUGGAGAAACUGGGAAGAAGCUGUCCUCCUUAGCAUCCAAUUUGAUAUCUGAUCUUCAAGAUAGAAUCCUGUGAGGAGAGACUUUUGUGUGUUAUAAAUGAAAUGAAGAUGACAGUAUCUAAAUAUUGCUUGUAGAGGUGAAAAAAGUACGACAUUCUUUCAGAAGAAGUAGAGUUUUAAGGCUCUUGAGGACUUUGGUGUCUAGUUCUAUAGCGCGCUUAAAGAUACGUCUUUCCAAAUUUCCUAUUGUAAUGUGUUUUUUUGUUUGUCUUUCACUCUUUUACUUGCCUUAAAGCUCAUAGAUGUUUGUGAGUCGAAUAUUUUGCUCUGUAUUAUGUGCUCUUGCUAGAGUUGAAAUACAAAUCACCGACUUGUA